CAUGGAGUUUGAUCCUGGCUCAGAUUGAACGCUGGCGGAAUGCUUUACACAUGCAAGUCGAACGGUAGAGGGGGCAACCCCUUGAGAGUGGCGAACGGGUGAGUAAUAUAUCGGAACGUGCCCAGUCGUGGGGGAUAACGUAGUGAAAAUUACGCUAAUACCGCAUACGAUCUACGGAUGAAAGCGGGGACUCGCAAGAGCCUCGCGCGAUUGGAGCGGCCGAUAUCAGAUUAGGUAGUUGGUGAGGUAAAGGCUCACCAAGCCAACGAUCUGUAGCUGGUCUGAGAGGACGACCAGCCACACUGGAACUGAGACACGGUCCAGACUCGUACGGGAGCAGCAGUGGGGUAAUUUGGACAAGUGGGCGCAAGCCUGAUCCCGAGCAAUCGCCGCGUGCAGGAU
rnacentral:rRNA from 1 species